rnacentral:rRNA from 1 species
AUGUGACUGCAGGACACAUGAACACCGACACGUUGAACGCAUAUUGCACAUCGUACAUCAGUACGAUGUACACAUUUUUGAGUGCCUAUAUUUAUCCAUUCAACUAUACGUGCGCCACCACGGCGCACGUAUGCGUAGUGAUGUUUUCCCGCCUUCGGUGCGCGGUAAAACAUUGAAGAUAGUCAGACGUGGUGUCGGCCGGAACGCCCGGCCGCUCCGCGGUUGAUGAGUACAUCCCAUUUCAGCCGAGCUGCGCUCGCGAGAUGUUGUGCUCCAUCAUCUUCAUCCGACUUGACUCGAGGGUAAUGAUGUUGAACUGGUUAGCCAGUAGGCCUCAAAUAAUGUGUGACUACCCCCUAAAUUAAAGCAU